rnacentral:rRNA from 1 species
UACGUAGGGGGCGAGCGUUGUCCGGAUUUAUUGGGCGUAAAGAGCGUGUAGGCGGCCAGGUAGGUCCGUUGUGAAAACUGGAGGCUUAACCUCCAGCUGUCGAUGGAAACCAUCUGGCUAGAGUCCGGAAGAGGAGAGUGGAAUUCCUGGUGUAGCGGUGAAAUGCGCAGAUAUCAGGAAGAACACCCGUGGCGAAGGCGGCUCUCUGGGACGGUACUGACGCUGAGACGCGAAAGCGUGGGGAGCGAACAGG